GCAUAUCAAUAAGCGGAGGAAAAGAAACUAACAAGGAUUCCCCUAGUAGCGGCGAGCGAAGCGGGAAAAGCUCAAAUUUGUAAUCUGGCGUCUUCGACGUCCGAGUUGUAAUCUCGAGAAGUGUUUUCCGUGAUAGACCGCAUACAAGUCUCUUGGAACAGAGCGUCAUAGUGGUGAGAACCCAGUACACGAUGCGGAUGCCUAUUACUUUGUGAUACACUUUCGAAGAGUCGAGUUGUUUGGGAAUGCAGCUCAAAUUGGGUGGUAAAUUCCAUCUAAAGCUAAAUAUUGGCGAGAGACCGAUAGCGAACAAGUACCGUGAGGGAAAGAUGAAAAGCACUUUGGAAAGAGAGUUAACAGUACGUGAAAUUGUUGGAAGGGAAACACAUGCAGUGAUACUUGCUAUUCGGGGCAACUCGAUUGGCAGGCCCGCAUCAGUUUUUCGGGGCGGAAAAGCGUAGAGAGAAGGUAGCAAUUUCGGUUGUGUUAUAGCUCUUUACUGGAUUCGCCCUGGGGGACUGAGGAACGCAGCGUGCUUUUAGCAAUUCCUUCGGGAAUUCCACGCUUAGGAUGCGGGUUUAUGGCUGUAUAUGACCCGUCUUGAAACACGGACCAAGGAGUCUAACAUGCUUGCGAGUAUUUGGGUGUCAAACCCGGAUGCGCAAUGAAAGUGAAUGGAGGUGGGAAGCGCAAGCUGCACCAUCGACCGAUCUGGAUUUUUUAAGAUGGAUUUGAGUAAGAGCAAGUAUGUUGGGACCCGAAAGAUGGUGAACUAUGCCUGAAUAGGGCGAAGCCAGAGGAAACUCUGGUGGAGGCUCGUAGCGGUUCUGACGUGCAAAUCGAUCGUCAAAUUUGGGUAUAGGGGCGAAAGACUAAUCGAACCAUCUAGUAGCUGGUUCCUGCCGAA
rnacentral:rRNA from 1 species